UGGAUGACUCUCGGCAACGGAUAUCUCGGCUCUCGCAUCUAUGAAAAACGUAGCGAAAUGCGAUACCUGGUGUGAAUUGCAAAAUCCCGUGAAACAUCGAGUCUUUGAACGCAAGUUGCGCCCGAGGCCAUCCGGCUAAGGGCACGCCUGCCUGGGCGUCACGC
rnacentral:rRNA from 1 species